AGCGAACGCUGGCGGCAGGCUUAACACAUGCAAGUCGAACGCCCCGCAAGGGGAGUGGCAGACGGGUGAGUAACACGUGGGAACGUACCCUUUGGUUCGGAAUAACUUGGGGAAACUCAAGCUAAUACCGGAUAAGCCCUUAUGGGGAAAGGUUUACUGCCGAAGGGUCGGCCCGCGUCUGAUUAGCUCGUUGGUGAGGUAAUGGCUCACAAAGGCGACGAUCAGUAGCUGGUCUGAGAGGAUGAUCAGCCACACUGGGACUGAGACACGGCCCAGACUCCUACGGGAGGCGGCAGUGGGGAAUAUUGGACAAUGGGGGCAACCCUGAUCCAGCCAUGCCGCGUGAGUGAUGAAGGCCUUAGGGUUGUAAAGCUCUUUUACCCGGGACGAUAAUGACUGUACCGGGAGAAUAAGCCCCGGCUAACUUCGUGCCAGCAGCCGCCGUAA
rnacentral:rRNA from 1 species